UACGUAGGUGGCAAGCGUUGUCCGGAUUUAUUGGGUUUAAAGGGUGCGUAGGCGGUCCUAUAAGUCAGUGGUGAAAUACUCUAGCUUAACUAGAGGGGUGCCAAUGAUACUGUAGGACUUGAGUACAGAUGAGGUAGGCGGAAUUGACGGUGUAGCGGUGAAAUGCAUAGAUAUCGUCAAGAACACCUAUAGCGAAGGCAGCUUACUGGGCUGUAACUGACGCUGAGGCACGAAAAGUGUGGGGGAUCAAAACAGG
rnacentral:rRNA from 1 species